GACCUGGCUCAGGAUGAACGCUGGCGGCGUGCUUAACACAUGCAAGUCGAACGAAGCACUUCAUAAAGCUUGCUUUAAGAAGUGACUUAGUGGCGGACGGGUGAGUAACGCGUGGGUAACCUGCCUUACACAGGGGGAUAACAGUUAGAAAUGACUGCUAAUACCGCAUAAAACAGCAGAGUCGCAUGACUCAACUGUCAAAGAUUUAUCGGUGUAAGAUGGACCCGCGUCUGAUUAG
rnacentral:rRNA from 1 species